GCGCCUGUAGCUUAAUGGAUAAAGUAACGGUCUUCGGAACCGUAGAUGGGGGUUCGAUUCCCUCCAGGCGCACCA
rnacentral:tRNA from 1 species